rnacentral:rRNA from 1 species
CUAUAAUGCAGUCGAGCGGACAGAAGGGAGCUUGCUCCCGGAUGUUAGCGGCGGACGGGUGAGUAACACGUGGGUAACCUGCCUGUAAGACUGGGAUAACUCCGGGAAACCGGAGCUAAUACCGGAUAGUUCCUUGAACCGCAUGGUUCAAGGAUGAAAGACGGUUUCGGCUGUCACUUACAGAUGGACCCGCGGCGCAUUAGCUAGUUGGUGAGGUAACGGCUCACCAAGGCGACGAUGCGUAGCCGACCUGAGAGGGUGAUCGGCCACACUGGGACUGAGACACGGCCCAGACUCCUACGGGAGGCAGCAGUAGGGAAUCUUCCGCAAUGGACGAAAGUCUGACGGAGCAACGCCGCGUGAGUGAUGAAGGUUUUCGGAUCGUAAAGCUCUGUUGUUAGGGAAGAACAAGUGCAAGAGUAACUGCUUGCACCUUGACGGUACCUAACCAGAAAGCCACGGCUAACUACGUGCCAGCAGCCGCGGUAAUACGUAGGUGGCAAGCGUUGUCCGGAAUUAUUGGGCGUAAAGGGCUCGCAGGCGGUUUCUUAAGUCUGAUGUGAAAGCCCCCGGCUCAACCGGGGAGGGUCAUUGGAAACUGGGAAACUUGAGUGCAGAAGAGGAGAGUGGAAUUCCACGUGUAGCGGUGAAAUGCGUAGAGAUGUGGAGGAACACCAGUGGCGAAGGCGACUCUCUGGUCUGUAACUGACGCUGAGGAGCGAAAGCGUGGGGAGCGAACAGGAUUAGAUACCCUGGUAGUCCACGCCGUAAACGAUGAGUGCUAAGU